rnacentral:rRNA from 1 species
AACCGAUGAGAGUUGAUCAUGGCUCAGAAGAAGCACACGGCGGGCCUAACACAUGCAAGUCGCACGAGAAAGAAACUAAAUUGCAGGGGCGAGUAAAGUGGCGCACGAGUGAGUAACGCGUGGUUAAUCUACCCUUGGGUUUUUCCAUCAUUGAACCCGAAAGGGGCGCUAAUACCGGAUAAGACCACGGUGUCCACGGGCACUGGGGUAAAAGUGGGCCUCUACAUGUAAGUGCAAGCUCAUGCCUGAGGAUGAGACCGCGUCCCAUUAUCUUGUUGUUGAGGUAACGGCUCACCAAGGCCGCGAUGGGUAGCUGAUCUGAGAGGAUGAUCAGCCUSACUGGGACUGGAACACGGCCCAGACUCCUACGGGAGGCAGCAGUGAUGAUUUUUUGCGCAAUGGGGGAAAACCCUGACGCAGCCACGCCGCGUGGGUGAAGAAGGCCUUCGGGUUGUAAGGCCCUGUCAGGUGGGAAGAACCGCAGUCUGGCCAUACCUGGGACUGCUUGACGGGAACCACCAAAGGAAGCACCGGCUAACUCCGUGCCAGCAGCCGCGGGAAAUACGAAGGGUGCAAGCGGUGGUUCGGGAUUUAUUGGGCGUAAAGAGCGGGGAGGCGAAACGUUAAAUUGGUAAGUUGGAAGCCAAGGCCCUGGAUCAACCAAA